rnacentral:lncRNA from 1 species
CACCUUGACCAUCUCAUGACUUUAUACAGGAAUCGGAGACAUCCAAGGCCAUUCCAUUUCUAAAUCACACUUAUCCCUCAAUCAAGUCAGUGACUGGAUCAUCUCCUAAGGUUUCACCUGCUUUGCAUCAGGGCAGGGUUCCACUCCCAUUGCCCAGGCUGGAGUGCAGUGGCGUGAUCUUGGCUCACUGCAACCCCCUCCUCCCCUAUUCAAGCAAUUCUUCUGCCUCAGUCUUCUAAGUGGCUGGGACUACAAGCGCGUGCCACCACACCCGCGCUUAUAAUAGAAAAUAAUUUUUCUGUUUUUUUGUAGGGAUGGGGUUUCACCAUGUUGGCCAGGCUGGCCUCGAACUCCUGAGCUCAAGUGAUCAACCUGCCUCUGCCUCCCAAAGUGCUGGGAUUACAGGUGUAAGCCACCAUGCCCGGCCUCUGAUUUUUCUAUAGUGAGAACAUAACUAUUUCUGUAAUAAUAUUAAAAAUACUUGUCAGUAUCACAUAGAAUUUUCAACAGCAGAUUCAAAUAAAAUGAAUCCUUGUGUGUGUGUAUAUAUAUAUAUAUAAAUGUAGAAGGAUAACAUCUAUAAUAGGUGAUUACUAUGUUGACUGUAUUUACAGGGAUGGAGAAAACUCAAAAGAGCCAUUAGUAUUUUUAAUGGAGAAACUCUUAAUCCAAUCAAUAAGGAAAGCAACUGUUAUGGAAAGAAUGAGAUGUCCAAGUGUUUGAAACAAUGCUCUGAACACACUUCAUACUUCUGAGGAAGAGCUUUGAACAAAGGAGUAAACAAGUAGAAUGCUGAGAAAAAUAGGGAGACGACAGUGGCACAUGACACCUAGUUUUUUUUUUUUUUUUU